CGGUGAGUCAUUGGGUAGUGGGCGCAGGCUGCCAGCAGGUCCAUGUGGCGUGAUAGUGUGGCAGGCAGUGGACCUAGGGAGUGGGUGAGGCCUGAACACACAUCCAGACACUGGCCAGCACAGCAGACGGCCCAUGAGAGAGCACAGCCAAUGUCAACAGGCCCAGGCCACAACCUCAAGCCCCUGGGCCCUAGCCCACGCUCCCAUCACCUCAGCCCAAGACAGAUACAGCCAACACGGGGAGUGAGCUCUGCACAGUGGGGUCUGUAUCGAGGAUACAGCAGAGGCAAGGUGCAUGCUGCUUCUGUGGGGAGGCAGAGAAAACACUGGGCAGGACACUAACUCUCAUGGGUCUCUGGAGUUUGAUCCCAUCAAUAUCUGCAGUGGCAUCAACAUCAAGCUCAGCACCAGGAACUAGUACCAAUCCUGCUGCUGAUGACGAUGACCUGGACACCAGCUUUAGUAGUACAGAGCCUGUAGACCCAUUGAAUGAAAGCUUUCAGCAUGGAAUAAGCCCAAUCUCAACAUCACCUGACGUGGAUACAAGCCAUGACAGCCAAAG
rnacentral:lncRNA from 1 species